CAAUAGCAUAUAUUAACGUUGUUGCAGUUGAAAAGCUCGUAGUUGAACUUUUGGUAGGAGCGACCUGGCCUUGGGCGCAUGCCCUUGUUGCCGUGUGUCGUAUCUGGCCAUCCUUUUCCGCCAUUUGGUGGGAAUCCUUUACUGUGAGUAAACUGGAGUGCUCAAAACAAGACGUUUGUUUGGUACAUUAAAGCAUGGAAUAAUAAGAUAGGACCUGGUUACUAUUUUGUUGGUUUGCAUAGCUGGGUAAUGAUUAACAGGGACAGUUGGGGGUAUUCGUAUUUAAUUGUCAGAGGUGAAAUUCUUGGAUUUAUGAAAGACGAACGACUGCGAAAGCAUUUACCAAGGAUGUUUUCAUUAA
rnacentral:rRNA from 1 species